GUAGAGAAUGGACACUGGUCGGAGAUGAAGGUGUCGACCUAGCACUGGUAGACUUUGCCUUUGAGCCAACUAUUUCCUUCUUACUGGUAAGACUAUUGAGUGCUUCAUUUGAGAGCGAAGAGUUUGACUUGUGACAAAGCAGCAGCAUCCUUUGAACCAUUGAUGGAUGGUUGCACCUUCUUGCUUCCAAGAAAAUUGGAGGAGCUAGUCACCACAAGAUCCUCUGGAUUGCCGACACAAGCAUGCCGGCCUGGAACUGGCCUGACUCCCCUCAAGAUCGGCACUGGAGUGGCUGCCUCAAAACGGUCUACAUGGAUGAACUGCCCCAACUGAAUUGUGUCACUCAGUAUGAGAUCAUGCUGCUCGUCCGGUAGGGAAACAUAAGUUGCAUGAGACGAAUCAGACACCUUGAGGUAGAACCCCUGGUUGGUGAACAGAUCACUCCCUGCAAGCGCCGGAACUAUGCUGACAACCUGAAGAAGGGAUGACCGGUGCUCGCCUGCGACUUUGACAUCGCUGUUCAUGUGCUGAAGGAGCUUGAGAAGGACCCCAGGUACCAGCGAAGCCAUUGCUGUUGCUCCUAAAGCACAUUUACCUGCGCACGUUGAGCACAGUUCAGGAAUCAUGAUCACCACACAGAGGACAUAAAGAAUUGCAGCUAGUGAGCUAAUGGUAGACAAGCUGGGCAAAUCCUAGCAAAAGUGUAUCUCCAACUACCAAAUGAAAUAAAGGUUGCAGCUUUCCACCAAACAUAA